AAGAUUCUUCGGAUGAAACUUGAUUGACUGAGCGGCGGACGGGUGAGUAACGCGUGGGUGACCUGCCCCAUACCGGGGGAUAACAGCUGGAAACGGCUGCUAAUACCGCAUAAGCGCACAGAGCUGCAUGGCUCGGUGUGAAAAACUCCGGUGGUAUGAGAUGGACCCGCGUCUGAUUAGCUAGUUGGUGGGGUAACGGCCUACCAAGGCGACGAUCAGUAGCCGGCCUGAGAGGGUGAACGGCCACAUUGGGACUGAGACACGGCCCAAACUCCUACGGGAGGCAGCAGUGGGGAAUAUUGCACAAUGGGGGAAACCCUGAUGCAGCGACGCCGCGUGAGCGAAGAAGUAUUUCGGUAUGUAAAGCUCUAUCAGCAGGGAAGAAAAUGACGGUACCUGACUAAGAAGCACCGGCUAAAUACGUGCCAGCAGCCGCGGUAAUACGUAUGGUGCAAGCGUUAUCCGGAUUUACUGGGUGUAAAGGGAGCGUAGACGGUUGUGUAAGUCUGAUGUGAAAGCCCGGGGCUCAACCCCGGGACUGCAUUGGAAACUAUGUAACUAGAGUGUCGGAGAGGUAAGCGGAAUUCCUAGUGUAGCGGUGAAAUGCGUAGAUAUUAGGAGGAACACCAGUGGCGAAGGCGGCU
rnacentral:rRNA from 1 species